rnacentral:rRNA from 1 species
CCUACGGGUGGCAGCAGUCGAGAAUCAUUCACAAUGGGGGAAACCCUGAUGGUGCGACGCCGCGUGGGGGCAUGAAGGUCUUCGGAUUGUAAACCCCUGUCAUGUGGGAGCCAAUUAAAAAGAUAGUACCACAAGAGGAAGAGACGGCUAACUCUGUGCCAGCAGCCGCGGUAAUACAGAGGUCUCAAGCGUUGUUCGGAAUCAUUGGGCGUAAAGCGUGCGUAGGCUGUUUCGUAAGUCGGGUGUGAAAGGCGCGGGCUCAACCCGCGGACGGCACAUGAUCCUGCGAGACGAGAGUAAGGGAGGGGGAACCGGAAUUCUCGGUGUAGCAGUGAAAUGCGUAGAUAUCGAGAGGAACACUCGUGGCGAAGGCGGGUUCCUGGACAUUAACUGACGCUGAGGCACGAAGGCCAGGGGAGCGAAAGGGAUUAGAUACCCCGGUAGUC